UUUCCCUUUCACUCUUUGUUUUCCAUCUUCUUCUCUUUCGUAUCUUCUCUGGCUCUUCAUCNGUGAGAAGAGAUCUUCUUUGAUCAACUACAGAUCUACCCAGGGAAGGCGAUCUCCUUCCUCGUUCUUGCGCUUGUUGAAAGAGCUUCUUCUCUUCGAGCAAAGUUUCCCUCACCUACUCUCUGACNAGACUGAAGCUUCUAGUCGAAGCUUUAUUUUUCCGCUGCAUCCACCAGAGAGAUAUUGGGUCAGAGACUUUUAUUGGGCUUUUAUUU
rnacentral:lncRNA from 1 species